rnacentral:rRNA from 1 species
UACAGAGGCCCCAAGCGUUGUUCGGAUUCACUGGGCGUAAAGGGUGCGUAGGUGGUCAGGUAAGUCUGAUGUGAAAUCUCUGAGCUUAACUCAGAAACUGCAUUGGAUACUAUCUGGCUAGAGAGUCGGAGGGGGGACUGGAAUACUUGGUGUAGCAGUGAAAUGCGUAGAUAUCAAGUGGAACACCAGUGGCGAAGGCGAGUCCCUGGACGACUUCUGACACUGAGGCACGAAAGCUAGGGGAGCAAACAGG